UCAUUCAAUUUAUUGCCACAAAAUAAAC
rnacentral:sRNA from 1 species